rnacentral:misc_RNA from 1 species
AUAUCGGUCAAAUACUCAAGUCUGUUCAGAUGGUUUCAGAUGUUAUGGAAGCCCUUGUCAAGAGGGUUAUUUUGGCAGAAUCAGAAACUGCUGAAGAGAAGGAAAAGGUUCACUUGGGUCGGGAGGAAAUUAAAAAGAAAUCAAUCCAGAUUGAGAACAUGUCCUCAAAACUGGAGGAAAUGGAACAAUUUGCUGUGGGUACAAAUGGCAUUCUAAAUGAAAU